UUCCCCUCAAACAAGUAGCUUGUAUAAAAUUACUCAUAACAUGAACAUGCUAAAGAAAUUCUUUUGAAUGAUGAAAAGUUACUUUGUACAUUAUAUUAAAAUUUAUUUUCUAUGUAUACCCAAAUUUUCAAGUAUUAGAUUUACUUAGAAAUUCACCAGUGUUAUCAUUAUACAAUUGGCUGGAAUUAACAGUUGCAAUACAGUUAUUCUAGCUUUUCAUAUUCAAUUUGAAUGAUCAGAAAAGUAUAUUAGUCACACAGAAUUAAAUAUUUUAGAUAGUAAGAAUCUUACACUUUAUUAGAUAAUAAAACAUAAUUGAUAUUUGCUUAAGUAACAAAAAAGUUAAGAAAUUGGGUUAUAAGCAAAGGAACAUAAGUGUAAAAUGUGUAGAAAGAUAAAUAUUUUCCAAAUAAAAUUCUAAUAAAAGGCUAAACAUUCUCAAAUAUUUUACAUACAUGAAGAAUAAAUUAUUUCUGGUUAACAUGUUUUUGCCUUAGUGCCAAAAAAGCCAGAACAAAUUUGAUAAGCUCACAUUAAAAUCAAAGUUUUCUAGAUAUGAAUUCUAUAUACCAUCUCUAUAUUUGUUUAGAAUUUUGCAAAAUUCUUAGAAGAUUGCAUGUUAGGGUGGGGGAAGAUAAAUGCUUGCCAAUACUGACAUGGUUAAUUAACAGACAGGCUUGAAAGGAGAAGGCUAGAAGAGGGAAGAUUAUGUCACUAAGCAUAGCUACAAAAGGAAAAGCCACAUGGAAGCAGAGACAAAGGCAAUCCCGACACACAGAGGCAUGUUUGUUGCGGCUCAGGGUUUCUGUUUUUCAAGUGUUCAGAGACGAAUUCCAGCAAGACUUCUGGUUUGAGUCAAGCCUUUCAACCGAGGUGCUUGGCAUACUUAACGGAAAAAGCGAGUACAUUCAGAUUUAGUUUUGCUAGAUAUUAAACUAGAAAACUGGAUGACAGUAAAACCAAUACAGAAACAAAAAGUCAUGUUUCCAGUAAAGAACCGUACACACAAGCAGGUUUUGCUUAUUAAUGUAGCAGGAGAGCAUGGAAAUCGGAGUUCAGACUCUUUAGAAAAGACAAAAGGCAGGUAUGAGAAUGUUUUGAACAACAGAAUUAAUCCAUCUAGAUUAGAAUGCUGUGUGGCAUGACCAUUCUCGAAUUUUGAAAGCCUGAGCUGGUUGUGGGCAAGGGGAUAUUCAUUAAUGACAUAAAUUUCAUUUAUGAAAUAUGUAUCCAUCAUCUAGGUAUCUUAUACAUGGAGAGCUGACUGCAUCCCUUGUAUAAAAAGUAAAUGAAGACCGGAAGGAAGCAGACUUUGUCCUGCAAACUGAAGCAAAGUUCCAUGCUAAGAAUCAGCAGGUUUUCUAGGUAGGUAAUGCCACCAGUGGAGGAUUAUUACAGUUCUCAAAUCAUGAGGGAAAGAGAUGGAGAAGAGGGAGGGAGGAGGGAAAAUCUUGCAUUCUAAGAGGUAAGAGUCCCCAUUACAAUUGCAAUGCUUCUUUAGACAGCUGAUUUUUCUGGCUGGAAGGCACAUUAAAAAUAACCCUAACAAUAACUUACCAAGACAAUGGAAAUCAAAAGAAAAGAAGGUAGACGUGCAGCUGUCUUAUUAACAUGACAACCAACUACAGCUGAAACAAUACUAUGGUACAGGGACUAGCUCAUGUUAAAGACUGGUUAUUUAGGUAAAGAGGAUCUGGUGCUCUUGGUUUAGCUUCAGUGAUUUUCCAGCACUUAUUAAAGCCAUUGUGCCCUGAACAUGGAGACCCCCAAAUCCUCUAUGUGCCAAAGAUUAAGUUGUAGAGAAUUACAUCAAUGUUUGCUGUUGGUGUGCACCACAGAUGAGACCAAGCUUCCUGGUCCGGCUAAGUGGAAUCUUCCAUGCACUGUGCACCACUCAGCUAGAAAGUCAACUAAGCAGAAAGGAGAUAAGGAAUGGCUAUGGAAUACCUGACUUCUUUAUCUUGGUUAUGUGUCCACAAUUUUCAUAAAAAUAAAUAAUACACAUUAAGUCAAAAUCUGGGCUCAAAUGUGUAACAAGAAAACAAAAGGACAACAAUCUGGUAUUCCGGUUUUUUUUUUUUUUUUGAGACGGAGUCUCGCUCUGUUGCCCAGGCUGGAGUGCAGUGACGUGAUCUCGGCUCACUACAAGCUCCGCCUCCCAGGUUCACACCUUAGCCUCCCGAGUAGCUGGGACUACAGGCGCCCGCCACCACGCCCGCCUAAUGUUUUAAUUUUUUAGUAGAGACGGGGUUUCACCGUGUUGGCCAGGCUGGUCUCGAACUCCUGACCUCAGGUAAUCCACCUGCCUCAGCCUCCCAAAGUGCUGGAAUUACAGGUGUGAGCCACCGCACCCAGCCAACAAUCUGGUAUUCUUAAGGCAAAACAGUAGAAAUCACUUUAAAUAGACACUUUAUUAGAUCCACAGGCGAUAAAAUCCCAGAGCUACUGUUAGGCACGUAAAUAUAGACCCUGUAAGAAAAAAACAAUUGAGAGUACUAUUAGUUCUAUUAAGAGUUACUUGAGGGAACAUCUUUUUUUAAGAAAACCUAAAAAAGAAAACCUAGAAACUUAGAUUGCUCACUGAUGUCCCAUAUUCCGUGAAACGCCUGCCUACUGAAAAAACAAAUCCCACACCCUUUAUUUUAUUUUCUUAUUUUAGAGACAUGGUCUCAUCUGGUACCCAGGAGGAGUGCACCAUGCAAUGGUAUGAUUACAGCUCACUGUGCCUCAAACUCCCGGGCUCAAGUGACCCUCCUGCCUCAGCCUCCCAAGAAGCUGAAGCUACAGGCAGAUGACACCAUGCCCGGCUAAAUCUUUUUGUAGAGACUAGGUCUCGCUGUGUUGCCUAGGCUAAGAAAACUUUUCAAUAAAAGUUUCGAAUAGCAAAAAUUCUGUGGUCACAAGGUCUAUGUAUAUGCACUAUAGAGACAGGAAGACACAAUUUAAUAUAAAGAACAACAUUUCACUGUUAAAUAAUGCUGUAACCUUAAAAUAUUUAAUUAAUCCAAGACGUUAAAUCUGACUUGAAAUAAUGGUUAAUUUGGGUGGGGGGUGGUACAUGAAUGUUCAUUCUCUCUUUUGGAUCAAAAAUCGCGAAAGUAAAAUAACUCCUUAAAAGGAGUUUAAGCAAUUGAAGCAGAAAGAUUACAACUGAAACACCUUCCAUUUUAUCCAUAAAAUAUUUCCUGUCUUGAAUCUCAUUAAAAUCCCUAAUAACUAUAGUUCAAUUAUAGUAUCUUAUCAAAUUUCCAAUUCUAUCAAUUAUAACGUACACAAUUACUUUAUUUACUACUAAGAAAGAAAAAGUGCCAAUUAAACUAUGAUACUUCAUCUACUGGAAAUUGUAAGAUGCUUUCCAAUUUCAGAGAUGUUAAAAUAUUUCAGAAAGUGUUGGAAUCAAUGAAAUGCAGUAUCUGUCAACGACUUAUUUUAUAAAUUUAUUUUCUUUUCAGGUUGAUUUAAAUAGAUACAAAAUAGCUUACCUGCUAAAUAUUUAAUAUU
rnacentral:lncRNA from 1 species